rnacentral:snRNA from 1 species
GCGGAGUCAUCUCAUCUAGGGUGAGGCUCAUUCCUUGCAUUUUGGGUGUGCUGAGCCCUGUGAUUUCCCCAAAUGCAGGAAACUCAACUGCAUGACUUGUGGUAGCAGGGGACUGUGUUUUUUCUUAAUUUUUU